UACGUAGGGUGCGAGCGUUAAUCGGAAUUACUGGGCGUAAAGCGUGCGCAGGCGGUUGGCCGUGUCCGAUGUGAAAGCCCCGGGCUUAACCUGGGAAUGGCAUUGGAAACUGGCUGGCUGGAGUGUGGCAGAGGGGGGUGGAAUUCCACGUGUAGCAGUGAAAUGCGUAGAGAUGUGGAGGAACACCGAUGGCGAAGGCAGCCCCCUGGGCCAACACUGACGCUCAGGCACGAAAGCGUGGGGAGCAAACGGG
rnacentral:rRNA from 1 species